CAUUAAUUACUUAUAUCCUUAUUUAUACAGAAUUUUUGGUUCAGUUUAGUUACCUCAACUUUGUUUUCCCUGUGCUUAUAACAAGUUUUAAGAAAGAUGAGUUUUAAACCUUUUGUUUCCUGACUGAAUACCUUAACAUUUUCCCCGCAUAUAUACAUGAAUACACACACGCCAUACACACACACAAAAUUGACAUUGUUUACCUUUUGUUUAUUUCUAGGAAUCAAGACUAUUUGGACUCAGUGUCAGCCACUACUAAUAUUCAUACCAUCUUUCUCCUCAUUUAAAGGGCUACUGGGAAGUUAAAUAUUUGCAUCUGUGGCCUGCAUUUGUGGCUGUUGUGUUUCUAUUGGACAGCACUGUAUUAGAGGAACCAGGUAAAAAUAUAAGCCCUGAUAACUGAGUUCUGUGGGUAUUUAACAGAGCUAAUUAUAUCCGAACAUUUUCUGAAAAUCUUUUGCGUGACUUAAACAUAAUUCCAAAUAUCAAUGUCUUCAAAUGUAUAUUGCAUCUAUUUAAAAAAACAUGCAUCUGUCAAAAUAACCAGACUCCACUAAACCAUACAAAUCUGUUAGCUGUCGAAGCAUAUCAAAAUAUGCAUCCUCCAAGUUCACUUCCAAUGUGACUUAGGGAUAAUGCAGACGAUUUCAGGCUUAAAACCAAAUAUGUUAGUUAUUUCCAGAUGAGACAGUUAACAUUACAAGGCCCUAGAAGUAAUACACAUUGCAAUUCAAGUCUGUAUUCUUGAACUUUUCCCCUGUUACUGUGAAGAAGAGUAUCAUGGGUCCAUUUAAUCUUUGAUUACUGCCUAAAAGCAUUCAUUGCCCCAGUAGUUCUUAAUUGUCUUAGAAAUCAUUCUCUUGCAAACUUCACAUUUCCAUAUCAUACUUUACGCUAUUACUUCAUGGGCUCCUGGGCAUUUGGUCUGUUUUUCUCCUUUCCUCUUUGAACAAAGUCAGGAAAAAUGUGUCAGUAGGAGAAAGGAGGAGCUGAAGGGAGUAAAUAAUUCAAGAUCACUUCUGUCGUUUGUAGUGGCUGUGGGCUAGAAAGAUAUUCUUCAGUGAAGAAACUCCCAACAGGUUCCAUCAAACUGAUACAACUUCAGGGGGGCCACCCUCUGCAGAUGGCAGUGAAUUUGUACCUGUUUGUGGUACAGGCACUACCACAGCAUCUUUGAUGUCUGUGUUUACAUUGCAUGAGAAGUUCUUCUCCAGUUUUUUGGCAGUGUCUGGGCAAUUUUGUACAAAGAUCACACGGUUGUAGGCCUUCAGCCUGCGCCACAACUGAACGUAGACUUUACACUGUACGUACAUGAAGACAAGACCUCCUGUGAAGCCAAUGGCUACCACAACCAGUUUUGUCCAAAAUGGCCAUUCAAGGACACCUUUGAAAUGAAAAAGAGAAAAUGUUAUCACCAACUUGUCCUCAGUGGAUUUGGUCAUUUUUUUUUUCUAUGCCCCUUCAAAAGCCCGUGCUUG
rnacentral:lncRNA from 1 species